rnacentral:rRNA from 1 species
CGGGGUGCACCAGGCGCGAAAACUUUACAAUGCUGGCAACAGCGAUAAGGGGACCUCGAGUGCCAGGAUACAAUCUUGGCUGUCGCGAUGCCUAAAAAGCAUUGCAUAGCAAGGGCCGGGCAAGACCGGUGCCAGCCGCCGCGGUAACACCGGCGGCUCGAGUGGUAACCGCUAUUAUUGGGUCUAAAGGGUCUGUAGCCGGCCGGAUAAGUCUCUUGGGAAAUCCAGCAGCUCAACUGUUGGGCUUCCAGGGGAUACUGUUCGGCUCGAGGCCGGGAGAGGUGAGAGGUACUUCAGGGGUAGGGGUGAAAUCUUGUAAUCCUUGAAGGACCACCGGUGGCGAAGGCGUCUCACCAGAACGGUCCUGACGGCAAGGGACGAAAGCUAGGGGCACGAACCGGAUUAGAUACCCGGGUAGUCCUAGCCGUAAACGAUACUCGCUAGGUGUCAGCCACGGUGCGACCGUGGUUGGUGCCGUAGGGAAGCCGUGAAGCGAGCCACCUGGGAAGUACGGCCGCAAGGCUGAAACUUAAAGGAAUUGGCGGGGGAGCACAAGGGCGAAUCGC